GUUAUCUAGUUAGCAGGACAAAACAGUUCCUUUGCAGCUCUGGGAAUUCCAGCUGACCGUUCUGAAACGAAGUUGCAUCACUGCUUUAUCUCCUUUGCUCUGGACUCUGUACCAUAACACAAGCUCUUUCUUCUAGAUUCCAAUAACACAAGCAUUCUCUCUCUUCUUCUUUUACUUUUAGCUUAAGCCUAGAUUCUCACCACAGAUACUUAUAGUGUUCCCUUUUUUUAAGUU
rnacentral:lncRNA from 1 species